CAGCUCCCCUCCACCCAGAAUGCCCCCGCCCGGUCGCCACGGCCACCAUUCUGGUCUCCAUUCCGCUGGCAGAGACCCCCAGGCAAAGGGAGAGCGAGGCCUCACCAGCACCCACUGAGCACUCAUGGCCAUGAACUUUCAGGAAAACGUGACCCUGGCCAUGGCGGUGUUCACCAUCCUGGCCUCCAUCUACUUCUUCAACAAGGCUCAGCACUGAGACGCCCAGGCCAAGCCCCGCCUCUGCCGGACCAGGAUGCUGGCCUCUGACACCCAAUAAAUGUGACUGAACCAGCA